ensembl:lncRNA
CUGGAGGAAAGACAAAGGGAAAACUGGAGGCAGCCGAUACAAAUUAGCACAGAGUUGGCUACAUAAGGAGCUUAAAUUGUCAUCUUUUUAUGUUGUUGGAUGCCAGAAUCAACAGAGUAAAGGGUCCAAUUUAAAAUUUUAUCGCAUAGCUGCUGCCACUGACAGACAAAAAAAACGACGACAGCUGUGGUUAAACGCAGUAAAAGGACAGAGCAGAAACGAUCAUCAGACGAUCAACAAUCAUCAGGACAGAAAUGAUCAUCAAAAAUGCUAGCAUUUGCAGCACACACUUCAUAUCAGGAGCCUGAGCUACUGAGUUGUCCACCUGUCACCUGACCUCCUCAGACAGGAAGAGAAACAAAACAGGUUAUGAGUAAGAAGCCUGAAACAAUUUCCCACACAGGAAGUGACUGUAGCAAGGACGGAGUCAUUCUGUGUGCAUGUUGAGAAAAACAUCUGCCUACCCAAGUCAGUC